GAGGAGCUCGCGGCCUAUCAGCUUGUUGGUGAGGUAACGGCCCACCAAGGCGAAGACGGGUAGCUAGUCUGAGAGGAUGUUUAGCCACACUGGAACUGAGACACUGUCCAGACUCCUACCGGGAGGCUGCAGUCGAGAAUCUUUAGCAAUGGGGGAAACCCUGAUUAUGCGACGCCGCGUGAGGGAUGAAGGUCUUCGGAUUGUAAACCUCUUUCGACCGGAAAGAAUAUCCUGACGGGUAAUAUCCGUCAGGACUGACGGUACCGGGAGAAGAAGCCACGGCUAACUCCGUGCCAGCAC
rnacentral:rRNA from 1 species